CGUUGGCAGUAGCCUGAUGUCGAUCCAUCCAUAGCAACGGUGAUGAUGAGCGGUGGCAGUGGUGAUGAGCAACAGCGGUGGAGAUGACUGGAGGAAGUGGCGUUGUGCGGUGGCGAUGACUGGAGGAGGUGAUGAGCAGCACCAUGGCUGGGUCGAGAGAGAGUCGUCGAAAAGAGAUGUAUCACCGUCGAAGAGGGAAGUAAAGCAGAGAGAGGGGGUGGGUGUUUUGAAAUUUGAAAAUUGGGAGUGAGACUGAAAGAUAAAGAGAUGAGAGUUUAUAGAGAGUUUGAUGAGCGUGGGUGUUUUGAAACUUGAAAAUUGGGAGUGAAACUGAAAGAAAAAAAGAGGAGAGUUUAUAGAGAGAGUUCCAUGACCGUGGGUCUCUCUUCCGUAGGGAGUAGAUGGGUGUGUUUUGAAAUUUAAAAUGUGAAAAGGUGAGGUGCAACAGAUGAGAAUGGGUGGUUGCAAAGCUUGUGGCUCUUGGGCGGGAAGUUCAGACUCUCUUCUUCCAAAAGUGGCGCUUCAGGAAGCAAGUGCAACAACUACAACAUCAUUUGAAGAACCAUUCUACAUUGAAGAACCAUUCUAUGAUGAAAACUUACAUUUUUCUCUAGAGGACUUGAAUUUAUUACUGUCAAAUUGUGACAAGACUCUUCCUUGAUAGAAACAUGGUGCUUAUUGUUUGGAAUAUUGGUAAUAGUUGUGGUGUGUAUAUCUACCAUUGGGAUUCAAAGUGUAUUUUUUUUUAGAGAAAUGCUACUUAUCAAUAAAGCACUCUUCUUUUUUA